GCCUGCUUGCUGCGUGAGACUGAGUAACUGCUAGAUCCUUGGACUUCCAUUCACAGCUGCGACUGAACAAUUGUUGGGAAUUCGGCUGCCGACUCUCUCUGCUCAGAAGAGAUGCUAAUGACUCUCAAGAAUCAUUGGCUCAGGAGACCUGCUCAACCAGAGUGCUUAAAGGAAAUGUUCUCUGUAAGUAAAAAUAGGAGGAAUAAGAUGAGCAUUAAAAAUUGUCCUGGAGAAAGAAAAGAACUUAAUGAAGACUGGUCCGAAAUGUAAAAGUAGUGAGGUGGAGCCUGGGACAUGCACAGAGGUCAGGAGCCACGUGGCUUCGAGGGAUCCUCUGUCUUCUCAUCAUACUGUUGACCUGCUAGUUUGAAUGACUGCAUCACUUGAAGGUUUCCUGAAACAGACAGUUCAGGCAAAACAACCUGUUCCACAAUAUCUUGGUAAGGAUCCCACCCAUGUCUUAAGACGCAUGCUUUAAGCUAGAAUAAAACCCUCAGGGACAUUUGGACAUCACUUGGAAACCAGCCUAGCAGGAGGGAGUAGAUUUGUAUAUUUUUGCUUGGC
rnacentral:lncRNA from 1 species